UACGGAGGGUGCAAGCGUUAUCCGGAUUUACUGGGUUUAAAGGGUGUGUAGGCGGGUCUUUAAGUCAGUGGUGAAAUCUCCGAGCUUAACUUGGAAACUGCCAUUGAUACUAUUGAUCUUGAAUUUUGUUGAGGUAGGCGGAAUAUGUCAUGUAGCGGUGAAAUGCAUAGAUAUGACAUAGAACACCAAUUGCGAAGGCAGCUUACUAAGCAAAUAUUGACGCUGAGGCACGAAAGCGUGGGGAGCGAACAGG
rnacentral:rRNA from 1 species